CGCCGCGUGGCUGGGGGGCGGGUAGCCGGCCCUGAGUCUGUCGCGGUCAGCCGGCCUUGACUGAUUCCUCCGCUCGGGCUCGGGUGGUGGCGA
rnacentral:tRNA from 1 species